UGGGGAAUAUUGCACAAUGGAGGAAACUCUGAUGCAGCAACGCCGCGUGAGUGAAGAAGUAUCUCGGUAUGUAAAGCUCUAUCAGCAGGGAAGAAAAUGACGGUACCUGACUAAGAAGCCCCGGCUAACUACGUGCCAGCAGCCGCGGUAAUACGUAGGGGGCAAGCGUUAUCCGGAUUUACUGGGUGUAAAGGGAGCGCAGGCGGCGAAGCAAGCCAGAGGUGAAAACCCGGGGCUCAACCCCGAGGAUUGCCUUUGGAACUGUUUUGCUUGAGUGCUGGAGGGGCAGGCGGAAUUCCUGGUGUAGCGGUGAAAUGCGUAGAUAUCAGGAGGAACACCGGUGGCGAAGGCGGCCUGCUGGACAGUAACUGACGCUGAGGCUCGAAAGCGUGGGGAGCAAACAGG
rnacentral:rRNA from 1 species